AAGCCCCCUGAAUAUAAGCCCACCCGAAUAUAAGCCCCCCCCCAAAUAUAAGUCCCCUGAAUAUAAGCCCAGUAGCCCACUACGUUAUUCAACAUUGACAGUUGUCUUUUAAUAUAGCAGAGAACGAUACUUAAUUAAAAACAUUGUCAUUGUCUUUAUAGCCGACUAUGUGAAUCAAAGCGCGUUAUUAAUACAUGUUUAUUUUCCUGUUUAUGACCGACUUGUUUUAUAUGUCUGACUUGUUUAUUACUAACACAAAAGAUCGUCAAUGUAUUAGCCCCCUCCCGUAUAUAAGCCCCCCCCCCCCUUGUAUAAGCCCAUUGGAAUUCAACAACAGAUACUGGAGAAUACACCCCUUGAAUAAUUACGUCACAAAUCCCUCUUAUUUGGCUAUUUGCAAUUGACUCUAGAAGUGCCUACGUCGCGUUAUUUCCAAUCCAUCUAAACAUUAGGUAUACGCAGUGCAAUGUGGGAUAUAUGUGUGUCAAAUAUUCAUUGUUUGGGCAUUGAUAAGAUGAAGUACAACGUAUGAUCUUUCUGUAGCCGCUGGGAGCAAAUACUGACAUCGCAUAUGUUAUGUGAGUACUAAAAAAUAUUCCGAAAUUGAAUUCAAAUUUGUACAUGUGUUGUAAUUUUAUACUGAAUGAGACAAUAAUUCGUUUUGCUUGUUUUUGUUUUCUUAUUAUUACGCCCGUAAAAAGUAUUUAGAAUUUAUUUACAUUUUGUUUUGCUAUUUUGGAGGCUUUUUAAUUAAGACCCCUUACAUUAUUUCAUUCUUUAAAUAUUUAGUCAGUUCGAAUUAUU